UACGAAGGGGGCUAGCGUUGUUCGGAAUUACUGGGCGUAAAGCGCGUGUAGGCGGGUCUUUAAGUCAGGGGUGAAAUGCCAGGGCUCAACCUUGGAACUGCCUUUGAUACUGGAGACCUUGAGUCCGGGAGAGGUGAGUGGAAUUGCGAGUGUAGAGGUGAAAUUCGUAGAUAUUCGCAAGAACACCAGUGGCGAAGGCGGCUCACUGGCC
rnacentral:rRNA from 1 species